AAGGUGUAUAUCGCCAUUGCUGCGGUUAAAAAGCUCGUAGUUGGAUCUGCGCCUUAGGACUCGGUCCUCCCACUGGGAGCCGAACUGAGAUCCAAGGCUAAUACUGCUGGUUUUCUCUUGAUGCUCUUUACCGGGUGUCUUGAGUGGCUAGCGAGUUUACUUUGAAAAAAUUAGAGUGCUCAAAACAGGCUCUUGCCUGAAUAUUCUUGCAUGGAAUAAUGGAAAAGGACUGCGGUUCUAUUUUGUUGGUUUUCGGAACUGCGAUAAUGGUUAAGAGGGACAGACGGGGGCAUUCGUAUCGCUGCGUGAGAGGUGAAAUUCUUGGACCGCAGCGAGACGCCCUAUUG
rnacentral:rRNA from 1 species